AUUGAACGCUGGCGGCAGGCCUAACACAUGCAAGUCGAGCGCGCGGCGUACGGUUUAGUAAUGUCUGGGAAACUGCCUGAUGGAGGGGGAAAACUACUGGAAACGGUAGCUAAUACCUCAUACUAUCAGAUGUGCCCAGAUGGGAUUAGCUAGUAGGUAGGGUAACGGCCCACCUAGGCGACGAUCACUAGCUGGUCUGAGAGGAUGACAGGCCACACUGAAACUGAGACACGGUCCAGACUCCUACGGGAGGCAGCAGUAGGGAAUAUGGCACAAUAGGCGCCAGCCUGCUGCAGCCAUGCCGCGUGUGUGAAGAAGGCCUUCGGGUCGUAAAGCUCUUUCAGCGGGGAAGCGUUACCCGCAUAAGAAGCACCGGCUAACUCCGUGCCAGCAGCAGCGGUAAUAC
rnacentral:rRNA from 1 species